rnacentral:rRNA from 1 species
UACAGAGGGUGCAAGCGUUGUUCGGAAUCAUUGGGCGUAAAGCGCGCGUAGGCGGCCCAACAAGUCUAAUGUGAAAUCCCUGGGCUCAACUCAGGAAGUGCAUUGGAUACUGUUGGGCUUGAGUCCUGGAGAGGGUGGUAGAAUUCCAAGUGUAGCAGUGAAAUGCGUAGAUAUUUGGAGGAACACCAAUGGCGAAGGCAGCCCCCUGGGUUAACACUGACGCUCAUGCACGAAAGCGUGGGGAGCAAACAGG